GGUUAGCUAUGGCGUGUCCCACAAUAUUCAAUGUUUUUUCUGUACUUCUGCGACUCCUCUUCUUCAUUUUGUUGAUUACUUUAGAAACUUUAAUCCCAGUCAAAUCUGGUGCGUGCUGCUCAUGGUCAUCCUGUUGUAAAAUUUCUCCUAGUGGAUAUUGGAACAAAAAAUGAAUAUUGUUUUUUUCUUCUUGCUUUAUCAUCGUUUGUUUACCUUGGGUUGUCUCUGUUGUCGUGUGGCAGCGUGAUUUGCAUCCUUUUUGAUAGUGACUGCACUUCCAUAUCACUUUUCCUGAACCAUCACUGUGUUUAUAAAAUGUAUAUGCAUCAACGAUCAGUGUUUUUUGUCCUCUUUGAGUUGUGCCAAAUUUCAACACCAUGUUCAAUUUAUUUUAUUACAUUUGAUUCUUAAAUGGUGUCGUUUGGGCUCGGAGUUGGAAUGUGUACUGAGGCAUCGGAGUAAAUUGUAUGAUAAGGCCUGUGUAUCGGUAAAUGAUGUGUAUGAGUAUUAAUAUAUUGUAUUUGUGUUGGGCGUUAAGUGAUGAGGAUAAUCCGUUUAUUGCCCUUCAUUUUUAUUCGGCCCUAUCUGAAUCUGGUAGCUUUGUGGUUUGUACAUGUGUAGGAUGAACUAGUGGCGGUAAAAUGUCUGGGAUGAAAUGUCUUAGGAUGAAAUGCCCUGGGAUGAAAUGGCCCGAGAUGGAAGUGGAUAGGACGAACUAUCAUGGAACCCUUCACGUUCAGGAAUUUUUCCGAAGUCAGUGAGGAAAAAAUCACUCAUUUAUUUGUGGGUGCACGGAGGGAUCGAGCGUAAUUGUAGGCUUCCAAUUAUUUAUCAUGUGGAGCCGGGAGGUUAUGUAUGAUUACCCCCGGGGCCAUUUCGAAAGUCAGCGAUCGUUUGCGGCCAAAUUCGUCGCUGAGUGAUUCGAAGAGAUAAAAAUUAGCGUUACGCCUACUAGUGGGCCUGUUGGCUCACGGGACCCAUGAGAGUUUCUAUUUCCAUGACGGCUAAGUAUUGGUCAUUCUAUCAACUGUCAUUAAUAUAUUAGUAAUGAUUAAUAAAGAGAGAUUCGCAUCGAAUGAGGCGAUGGGAAACUUGUUUAGAAGAAUGUUUUUUAGCUCAUUAACCCUCCUGAACUGGCUAGAUCUCUUACGUCUCACUUGCACUGCAGUGGCGCCCUAUAGGUUGAGCAGUUGGCGGCGGCGCGCCGCUCUACGCGCCAGUUCAGGAGGGUUAAUUCAUUAAUGUUGGUUAUGCGCUAGGGUUUGAGUUGGGAGUUCUGUCAUAUGUGGGAUUGUCUCGACGAGGACAUGUCAAACAACAUCUUUGUUGGGCAUUUUUUCAGUUACACUGGUGGAAAAAAAUUUCAUUCCACAGACAAUCUCGUUGUAAGUUCCAUGAGCGUGACAUUGGAUUCAAUUGGGGGAAAAUGAAUAUGAAGUUUCAAGUUUUGGAUAGUCAAACGAAAAAAGACUAUUAUUUAAGAAAAUAGUUGUCAGAGAAUUUCAUAGAGGAAAUUGUAAUAGGGCUUUUUAAUAUAAAAAAAUUUUCUCUAUCCAGCAUCUCCUCCCUGUCCCCAUCCCUCAUAUUGUUAACCUAUUUCUCACCCCUCAUGUUAUACAAUGUUGUAGCCUCCGGGCUGAUACUAUACCAAUCAAUUUUGUAUGUAUAAACUUGUAUCAUAUUGUUGUCUUGUCUUGUUUGUAAAUAUUUAUCCAUGUUAAUAAAUCUUGUUGAAUCUUAAAAA